AAGAAUCGGGACUGUGGACCCAAGGAAAGAGUAUCUCUGCCCAAAGCUCUCUAUCCUCUUAUAGCUUCAAUAGCUCAUGGGCCCACCCACCAAUCUAAGACCAUCAUGAAAGAACUAAUAGACAAAAUAUGGGUGGCCCCAGGGAUAACCCCUGUCCUGGUGAGGCAUACUCAGUCUUGCCUCAUCUGUGCGCAGUGCAACCCGGGAAGAACUGAGCCUACACCAACUAAAUGUCUCCCCAAAGCCCAGUACCCGUUACAACGGUCAAAUUGACCACAUCCAGAUGCCAAUGUGCCAAGGGUUUCAAUAUGUGCUAGUAGUGGUAGACUUGUUCUCUGGGUGGCCAGAAGCCUACCCCAUCCGAAAUCAGACA